rnacentral:rRNA from 1 species
GAGGAACACCGGUGGUGAAGGCGGAUUUUUGGGCCAUUACUGACGCUGAGGAGCGAAAGCGUGGGGAGCGAACAGGAUUAGAUACCCUGGUAGUCCACGCCGUAAACGUUGGGAACUAGGUGUUGGCGACAUUCCACGUCGUCGGUGCCGCAGCUAACGCAUUAAGUUCCCCGCCUGGGGAGUACGGCCGCAAGGCUAAAACUCAAAGGAAUUGACGGGGGCCCGCACAAGCAGCGGAGCAUGUGGCUUAAUUCGACGCAACGCGAAAGAAACCUUACCAAAGGC